CUCUCGCGAUGCAUUCACACUCCACACUCUCCUUCAUAGGAGCUUCUUCCUAUCCUCUCAGAACCCAUCCUCUCAGAUCCUAUCCUCUCAGAGCUUCUUCCUCUCUCCGUCCACGUUCUCUCCAUCACAGGAGCUUCUUUCACCGCUGCCGCUUUCUCCAUCGCUCCAUCCACGAUCUCAUCACUGACAGCAACUGCCAUUCGCUGGUCAUCCUCAUCCACCGGUUCAGGUAUGGCUUCAGGAAUCGAAACCAUUACACACUAACAAACCAACAAACCCUAGCAACAACAUUAUCAAUCUUACUCUCACUUUGUAAACUUGUCUGUCUCUUCGAACCCUAGCUUUUCUUUCAAGACGACUUAUGUAUUUAUUUAUUUAUUCACUCCCUGUUUCAAUUUAAUUUUGAAUGAUUUUUGUCUUCAGGAAGUGCAGCGAUUAAAAUCUUCUCUGGUUAGAUUUCAUUGUGGUGUAUAAAUGGUAGAUGAUGAAAUUU